GUAAAACUUAUUCUUCAGUGUUAUUUUCCAUUUGCAAAUUGGUUGGAUCCACUUGAGUCAAACUGUGCUUUGGUAGAUGUCAUUGCUGCUUUUGGACGUGUUCUCUCAAAUUAGGUUACAGAAACAAGAGCUGAAUUAUACACACAGCUGCAGAAAUAGAUUUCUACUUGCAAAUGUAAGAUGAAAAAUAGGAAACUUGAGAGAGCUCCUUUAAUGUUGAAACCAACCGACCAACUUUCUGGGUAAAGUUCUGUUUCUUAACACAUUCAGAAAUCGGUGGGUUGGUGUCCACAUGGCCUGAGGAGGCAGGCAGUCCCCUUUUAGAGCAUAAGCUGGGGUCGCACAGAUAGAUGUUUGAAUCCAGUUCUGCUCUUCCUAGUUGGGUGACCCCGGUCAAGUCAUUUAACCCUGUUACUUUCCUCAUCUGCAAAAACCCCUGUGCCCAGAGCUCCCUCAUGGGGUGGCUGUGAAGAUUAAUUGAGAUGACUGAGUGAUUUGCUUGAUAAAUGGAAGUCAUUGUAAACUGUUAGCAGACUCCUUCUUGCUUUCAUGCACUUGUGUUUUUGUUCUUGCUCUGUUCACAGGCAGCAUGAACAAGGAAUUUAUCAUCCACACUGGGGCCCUUUUGAAUAUAAAAGCGGACACCAAACCUGAGAGAACUCUGGGCUCUUAGGAGUAGGUUGGGACUCUCCCAGGUCACCCUCCCGAAGACUGAGAAGCCUGUAGGAGGGGAUGGCUGCCACCACCAGUGCCUGCUGGAGGGACAGAGAAGAAGGGGAUGAGAAAGAAUCGUUCAUACCUCCUGUAUGUACUUCCUUAAUUGUCAUUCACUCCAGAAUAUGGUGGGGUGAAGCCUGGCUGGGCGAUCUGCUCUGUGUGGCCCUCAGCAGGUCAGUGAACCACUCCAGCCUCGGUUUCUCCACUGCGCCUUCUACACAAGCUAACUGGUCUUGGUGUUUGCUCCAUUUAAUAAACCAUCUUCACUGUGCAAUUGAAAUACAUGGAGCCUGGAAUUCUCUUCCAACCAAGGACUAAUUCCUUUAAUUUCACCCAAGUCUUAGCACAAGGAAGAAGAUACAGUAGAAAGAUCUGUGCCUUUAAAAGGCCAUCCUGGACUGGGUGUAAAAAAGCAGAAAUUAUGGUGCCAGCUUCCUCAGAGUCGGACACGACUGAGCAACUAAUGCUUUACUUUCCUCUACUGUAUAGGUAGUUUACCUCUGUUUAAGAUUGCUGUGCUUGACGCUCACAAAUCCAAAGUAACUGUUAUUCAAAACUGGCAUGGUUUUCUUCUUCCAUAUGGCAGUAGCAGCUGUUUAUUAAGCACCUCUUAUAUGUCAGAUACCAUGCUGGUUGCUUUGUACAUUGUCUAAUUUUCCCAAUCAAGUGAAAUGUGACCCCCAUUUUACAGAAGAGAAAACUGAGGCUUAGAGAUGCUUAGUAAUUUGAAUAACUUGUAUAUGGCAGAGCUCGAGUUUGGAUGCAGAACUGAUUCCAAAGUCACUGCUCUUUUUGCUACACCUUGCAAUGUCAGUGCCUUGUAUUGCCAGGAAUUCUUGCUGGGGAAUGUUGGGGCUUGCAUUCAUGACUUCGGUGGCUGUUGGGAAGGGAAGGAUAGAAUAGUAAUGAAAUGUUCCAGUAUAUCCAAGGAGGCUCACCAGCGCCCCUCGCCUGCACAUAACUGCUCCAGUCUUAACUGUUAGAUGUUCCCAGCUCUUGACAGUUUACACUUUCGUGUACACCAAAUUUGGUGCUGUCCCUUUUGUUAUCUAACAUCUGAUCACAUGUCUUGAAAGGUGUAAGGAAUGCUGGUGAAUUUUAACUUCGCCAAGGCUCAGGACAAAAGCAACAGCAUGAAAUAAAUCACAAAAAAUAAGACUAUUUAUAUAUUUC
rnacentral:lncRNA from 1 species